AAAGUACAUAUAAAAUGUUGUAUUUUGUCAGACUUUUGCAUAAUGUCUUUAUAUUUAAACAUUACAAUAAAUAUAUCUAUACAUGAACAUAUUUUAAACAAAUAAUUCUGCGAAACAAUCUAACAAUUUUUAAAACAAAUUAAUAAUUUGCAAGAUACCUAUCGACUAUGCAACGAGUAAUCAACUGGUAUAACGGUCAGCCUUGGGUUCAAGAAACAGCGGCAUACAAAGAUAUGCAAUAUACACGUAGAAUGCAUUUAAUGAUAAGGAAAAAGUUGUGUCAACUCAAUAAUGAAGAAAUCGAUAAUGCGUCAAAAAUUGCGAAACCAUGGUGCCCGGAUCGUGAACUACUUUUAAAAGAUUUUACCACACUUGCCCACUUGGAGAAUUCGGACAGCGUCCUUAUACUAUGUUCCAUGAUUCACCAAAUAGACCAAAACCAAUGAAUAAUGCAGAUAUGGCAGAUAUCCAGUGCAGCUUUCUGGGAUUAACUGUUUUAUAUCCAAAAAAUAUCGGAAUUCAUAAUGCGACCGAUGAAGAUCUAGACGCCUUUUGUCACAUGUGGAGAUGUUAUGGAUAUUUUCUUGGAAUAGCAGAUGAGUACAACUUUUGCCGUGGCAGUUUCGAAGAAAUAAAACAACGGACGCAAGAUUUUUAUCAAUGUUGGAUAAUACCUAAUCUAAGGGAUAUUACACCUGAAUGGGAACACAUGACGAGAUGUAUAAUUGAAUCCAUGAAUUAUUAUUCUUUAAUGUGCAUGUCAUGUAAAACAAUAAUAUUAUUGACUACAGAUAUACUGAAUUUAAGUAUGUCGCAUUUACAUGGAUCACUCAGUUAUCUGGAGUGGAUUGCUUAUAAGAGUUGGACGUUUAUAAUGCAUUACGCCAUGAGAUUCUCAAGCCUUCGAAUACUAUUUAAUAAAAUGAUGCAAAACAUGUUUGAGGAAGCGGCCAACUUUACUCCAGAAAAACAUGAAGAGCUACAAAAGAGAUCAGAAAAACAAUUAUCGAAUUUUUCUAUUGUAGAUUAAAGGAAAACAUGAUUAUAUAAAAAGAAUUUAUUCUAUUUAUAAUUCGCAAAACAUUUCAGUUCAGUUAUAUAGUUAUUACACACAUAAUUUAAAUUUUAUUUGAAUUUAUAUCUUUCCUAUAUUUUUAUAUCCAUAUAAUUUAGUUACAUUAGAUAUAUUUACUCAAAAUUUCUAUAUGUUUAAUAUUAUAUAAUAACAUUUUCGUUUAUGAUAAUAUAUUGGGUUGGCCAAAAA